rnacentral:tRNA from 1 species
AAGGUUUUAAGUUAAGUAAACUAAUAAUCUUCAAAAUUAUAUAUAAAGAAACUAUCUUUAAGCCUUA